rnacentral:rRNA from 1 species
GAUGAACGCUGGCGGCGUGCCUAAUACAUGCAAGUCGAGCGAACAGACGAGGUGCUUGUUCCUCUUACGUUAGCGGCGGACGGGUGAGUAAAACGUGGAUAACCUACCUAUAAGACUGGGAUAACUUUGGGAAACCCGAGCUAAUACCGGAUAAUAUCUUUAACCGCAAGGUUUAAUAGUGAAAGAUGGUUUUGCUGUCACCUAUAGAUGGAUCACUGAGGCAUUAGCUAGUUGUUAAGUUAACGGCUACCAAAGGCAACGAUCCUUAGCCGACCUAGGGGGGGGACCGCCCACCCUGGAACGGAAACACGGCCAAGACUCCUACGGGAGGAAGAAGAAGGGAAUCUUCCACAAUGCGCGAAAGCCUGACGGGCAAACGCCGCGUGAGGGAGAAAGGUCUUCGAACCGAAAACAUCGGUUGUUGGGGAAAAAGUAAUGUGUAAGUAACAAUUCACGUAUUGACGGUACCUAAUCAGAAAGCCACGGCUAACUACGUG